rnacentral:lncRNA from 1 species
CGUGGCCUAAGUGUGCUGAUGGUGGGAGUGAAUGAGUGGACGGGUGGGACCUGUGAGGGGAACGCGACCCCGGGUCGGCGCGGGCAGAGAGGCGCGCGAAGCAACCGUGACAAGUGGUGCCCGACCAGGGACCUGAACGAGGAAGGUCUGCCAGAGCAGAGAAAGUGAAACUGAUCAGACGAACUACGAACCCCUGGACGGGAGAGUCUGCCGGCGGAGAAUAUAAGGAGAUGGACAAACCGUGUGGGUGCCCUCCAGGUGUGUGUGACCAUGGAACGGGAGACCGGAGGGAUCCAUGGUAUUCAACCGUGGGCCUGUUACCUCCAGUACGAGCCAUGAGCCAGCGGAAUCUGAAUGCAAAGACAGAACAAGGGCCGACCGGAGUCACAAUGACAUCCAACCCCAUAACAUGGGGACAGAUCAAGAAAACGACACAAGAAGCUGAGAAACUACUGGAGCGCCAGGGUCAGGCAAAAACCCCUGACUCCAUGUUCUUGGCCAUGCUAGCUGUAGUGUCCUGUGCGUCUAUAGGAUCGGGUGAACCACCAACCGGCAAUUGAAAGC